rnacentral:rRNA from 1 species
GCCCUUUCGGGGGUGCUCGAGUGGCGAACGGGUGAGUAACACGUGGGUGAUCUGCCCUGCACUUUGGGAUAAGCCUGGGAAACUGGGUCUAAUACCGGAUAGGAUCACGCGCCUCAUGGUGUGUGGUGGAAAGCUUUUGCGGUGUGGGAUGGGCCCGCGGCCUAUCAGCUUGUUGGUGGGGUAAUGGCCUACCAAGGCGACGACGGGUAGCCGGCCUGAGAGGGUGUCCGGCCACACUGGGACUGAGAUACGGCCCAGACUCCUACGGGAGGCAGCAGUGGGGAAUAUUGCACAAUGGGCGCAAGCCUGAUGCAGCGACGCCGCGUGGGGGAUGACGGCCUUCGGGUUGUAAACCUCUUUCAGUAUCGGCGAAGCUCCGUGGUUUUCUGCGGGGUGACGGUAGGUACAGAAGAAGCACCGGCCAACUACGUGCCAGCAGCCGCGGUAAUACGUAGGGUGCGAGCGUUGUCCGGAAUUACUGGGCGUAAAGAGCUCGUAGGUGGUUUGUCGCGUUGUUCGUGAAAACUCACAGCUUAACUGUGGGCGUGCGGGCGAUACGGGCAGACUGGAGUACUGUAGGGGAGACUGGAAUUCCUGGUGUAGCGGUGGAAUGCGCAGAUAUCAGGAGGAACACCGGUGGCGAAGGCGGGUCUCUGGGCAGUAACUGACACUGAGGAGCGAAAGCGUGGGGAGCGAACAGGAUUAGAUACCCUGGUAGUCCACGCCGUAAACGGUGGGUACUAGGUGUGGGUUUCCUUCCUUUAGGGAUCCGUGCCGUAGCU